GACGAACGCUGGCGGCGUGCUUAACACAUGCAAGUCGAGCGGUAAGGCCUUUCGGGGUACACGAGCGGCGAACGGGAGCGUAACACGUGGGUGAUCUGCCCUGCACUUCGGGAUAAGCCUGGGAAACUGGGUCUAAUACCGGAUAUGACCUCCUAUCGCAUGGUGGGUGGUGGGAAGAUUUAUCGGUGCAGGAUGGGCCCGCGGCCUAUCAGCUUGUUGGUGGGGUAAUGGCCUACCAAGGCGACGACGGGUAGCCGACCUGAGAGGGUGACCGGCCACACUGGGACUGAGACACGGCCCAGACUCCUACGGGAGGCAGCAGUGGGGAAUAUUGCACAAUGGGCGAAAGCCUGAUGCAGCGACGCCGCGUGAGGGAUGACGGCCUUCGGGUUGUAAACCGCUUUCAGCAGGGACGAAGCGCAAGUGACGGUACCUGCAGAAGAAGCACCGGCUAACUACGUG
rnacentral:rRNA from 1 species